GACGAACGCUGGCGGCGUGCUUAACACAUGCAAGUCGAGCGAGGGGCUUCGGCUCCUAGCGGCGAACGGGUGAGUAACACGUGGGCAACCUGCCUCGAGCUCUGGAAUAACCUCGGGAAACCGGGGCUAAUGCCGGAUAUGACACUGCCGGGCAUCUGGUGGUGUGGAAAGAUUUAUCGGCUCGAGAUGGGCCCGCGGCCUAUCAGCUUGUUGGUGGGGUGAUGGCCUACCAAGGCGACGACGGGUAGCCGGCCUGAGAGGGCGACCGGCCACACUGGGACUGAGACACGGCCCAGACUCCUACGGGAGGCAGCAGUGGGGAAUAUUGCGCAAUGGGCGGAAGCCUGACGCAGCGACGCCGCGUGGGGGAUGACGGCC
rnacentral:rRNA from 1 species